UCAAUGAAACCAAAAUCUGGGUAUUCGAAAAGAUGAACAAAAUUAACCAACCUUUAUUGGGUCAGUUCUGUGGUGUUUUUGAAACAGUUAUCUUUUAUGUCCUUAGCUUCCCUUCUCCCAUUUUCUGCAGGGGUUAUUUCUAGCCCUCUUCAUUUUCCUAGACAUUCCACCACCACCAUCACCACCACCACCACCACCACACACACAAACACACACCACUUGAACUGAAUUUAUGGGAAAUAAACUUGUCAUUAUUUUCAUAGAGAAAAUAGAAGCUGUCAGAUGGGAAAUUCUUCAGCUUCUGACCACCAAACUUACUAAGCAGCCCUGGUUCACUCCAUGGAUCUAUUGAGUCAGUCAGACUGUGAGAGAAGCCUUUGGCAAUGACUUUUGAAAACAAACUCUGCAUAUUUAAGUGGAUGAUGAACCACUUUGGAUAAACUAAGGGAACCUGGACCUUUGCCUACUGCCACCAAAAGAACCAGGGUGGCUCCUGGCUGCUUUGCUUGGGACGGGCUCAGCAAUGAAGUGCCUAUUUGUUUGCUGGUUAGAAAUUGUUCAUAGUGUUUGCCUUCCUGGGAAUCUUGUUCUCCCCUUGGGCAUUUAAAGUGGGUUCAAUAUUUUCAUGUGGUUUUCUCCAGAGUUCUGUUUUAAGGGAUGCUACUCCAUUUUUAUUCCAUUUGCAGGGAAUCAGGUUGUAAACCAAUCUACACCCUGUUUAGUUGUCUGAGGGAGGAGCAGAGUGUGCUUUUGAACAGACUCUGCUUUUGAAAAUUACUUGGAGUGUGCUUUUUGCAAUGCCCUGGCCUAAUGUUGAGGCAUCAUGCCAGGGAGGUUGUUUUAAAUUACUCAUUUACUUCUAAACUUGGGAAGCAGGAGUGGUAUGAAGGGAGGAGAGGUUGGGUGGUGGGGAGGAAAAAGAACAGCAUACAUACUUGUUUGCUCAUGGUAGUGAGAAUGUUAUGUCCUGUCCUUACUCUUGAAGAGAAAUUAUUCAUAGCUUUAUACAAGUAACCUGAUCCCUCCUUGCAAAAGGCACUGAUAUAUAUGUGAACAAAAGAGAUGUUCUUGCAUUUGCUGAAAUAAAGAAAAAAGAGAGAAAGAAAAAAGCAAGCAAGCUGUGGCUUCCUCUAAUGCUCUAUUCCUAAAAUUCCUUUAUGCCUUCAUGAUUAUUAUACACAAUUUUUAUGAUUAUAUUGGGUUCCAGCACAAGAGGGAAGCUAAAUAAUUCCAAAGCUCUCUUUCGGUGCUCUGAUCCUCUCGUCACUGACCUGUGUGAUAAUAGCAGUGGAGGGAUUGGAAGUUGCUGUGGGAAGAGAGGUGGAAGGGGUGUUGCUUUCUUUGUCACCCACAGAGUCCCUGAAUGUGUUUCUCCUCUGGUACCAGAGGGUUUGUGUUGUCAGUUAAGCCCAGAAAAAAAGAAUUAUAGUGACUAAGACACAGAGUGAUUGGGCUUAUCUGGGACUCCAGUGACCGUGGGCUACUCCCCAAGAAGUGCAGUUGUUUCAUUGCUACUAAUACACAGCCUGCUCUAAUGGGGGAAAAUAAUAAACGAGCCCAGAACAUUAUGUUGGGUUUUAGCUCAUUGACUUAAAAGGCUGAGGUAUAAUUUCCCUGAGAUUUUUACAGUCAUGAACAUCUGCUCACAGGAGCCUGCAACAUCUGCAGCACUUGUAGUCAUUCUUUGCAAAGGACCAUAAAGUUUAUAGAAAAAUGAAUCCACCCAGACACAGAGGAGACCUGGCAGAGCCACCUUCCUGGCUGAGAAGUUUAUUUUAUAUUCCAGCCUGAGCUACAGAACAUUGUGUGCCUACACUUGAGGAUGUGUGGAGAAAACAGAGCUGGGAUUUCUUCUCUGCCCUUCUCUACACACAUGUGUCUGCCCCAGUCACACAGAGUCCCUGCUGUAUGUUGGGUGCUUUCUCAUUUAUGUUAUCUUCUUUAAUUCUCAUAGCAGCCAUGUUGGUGGCCAUUAGUUCUUUCCACAGUGGUGCAUACAUAUGUACACAGACAAUUUUAGGUGUACAUACUGAUUUGGGAAUUUUAAAGCCCCAAACAUAAGUUUCUGAAGUCUGGAUUCACAAUUAUGUGGUGAGGAAAAGGUAAAUAGAGGUAGUGUCAUAUAGAAAAAGGACUGGAUUAAGAUUGGGAGACCUCCAUUCUGAUCUCAGUUCUGGGGCCUUUUUAUGUUGAUUUCUUUGGGGCUUCUAUUUCUCAUGUACACAGUGUGGGAGUUGGAUUUAAUUUUCUCUGUCUCUUAUAGUUCUCAUGCUAAAUAAACCAGGAAUCAAUACCUAGUAUGACUUCAACCAUAUAACAUAAAUAUGUAGGAAGAAGGCAAGAAGGAACUAUGCCACAAUGUUUUCAGAGAUUGCCUUUGGGUGGUAGGAUUAUGAGGGAGCACUAACUUUGUUCUUUGUUCUUUAUGGCUUCUUCCAAAUCUUCCAUAAAGCGUGUAUAUUAUAUCUAUGAUCUGAAGAACGUAGUAAAAAUUUUGAACCAUUUGGUGAAGAUAGCACUGCCUUUUUAUUGUAUUAUCUCCUUCAGAUAGACCUCUGUUACAGCCGCCAGACCAAUGUAACGCCUUACCUGAGUCUUCCCUACUUAACUAUCGUCCACUCAGGUCACUCUGAUGACACUGCCUUAGACAUGCUUACUUGUUGCUUUGGGUGUUUUGGACUUUAUGGUAUAUAUGUGUGGUUUAUAUAUACAACUAGAUUAAAAGAUUCUCAAGACUGGGGAGAGUGGGUCUCCUGCUUGUUUUUAUUUGUUUGUUUGUUUACAGAUGCUCUGGUACUGCCCAUUGUAGGCACUUACAGUCACAUGUUGACAGAACAAAUGAAUGAAAUAGUAUAUUCCAAUGUCUUGGAUCUAGGAGUUUCUUCUAUUACGCAGCCAACAAAACUGACAGAGCUUUGCAUUAGGGGCUAAGACACAGCUGCAGUGGAUACUUCCAGGCAAACUCGGAGUCAUGCUGACAGCAUCCCACCUCAAGUCGGCACAUGUAUCUUUCUGCCUCAGGGCUUUCUGUAAUGCUGUGGGAGCUGGCUUGGUCCAUGUGCAAGAGCAGUUUGAAAGUGCGGGGAAGAUACUGUUCAGUGGGAUACCCAAAGUUUUCCUCAAGCCUAAUUCCAAAAGGAAGAAAGAACCUCUGACAAAAGAAGCCACACAAAGCUGCUGUUGAUUUAUUUCAUUUACUUAUUUGUUGCUUCUCCCUUGUCUCUGCCCACCUUUCAUGCCCAACUCAUCAUUAAGCCCUAGAAUAAUGACUUGUAGAUAGUGUGCAUUAUAUAUUUGGUGAAGAUAAUGAAAGGAUUUUAAAACAGGAUUGCCGAUUAGGGUAAUUCCUAAGUUACAGGAAUAACAGUCUAAUGGUAAAAUGUUUAGCACCUUGGCAGUUUGGGAUAAAAAUCAUUUUGGCCCUGUUCAAAUAGCUCAACAGAACGCCCUGCCCACUGUAACCUUAUUCACAUACAAAACUCAUCCUUUCCCAAAUAUAUGUUCCAAGUUUUAAAAAUUGAGCCUAAAAUUGUAAGGGUAUGUGCACAUUGAGAAAUGAAAUGUCAUUAACACAAAUGUGACUUCUGGUGGGUGUUCUAGACCUAUCAGCUGAUAAUUGAUGAUGAGAAUUUUGUCUUCUAAAUAAGGAGUAUUCUUAUUCUGUCCUGAGAAGACAUUUUAAAGUGUUUUACCUCGUAUGUUUGAGGUAAUAUUUAAAGAUUUUGCCCUCUGGCUUCAAAUUUCCUCUCUCGAUAACAAUAAUUAACUUGAAUUAAGGUUUAUGCAAAAUGCAAUAAAAAUAACGCAAUAUUUUAAUUAUUGGCAAACCAAUUU